AAUAGUGUUCUAUAGGGCUCUGGUCUAAAGUAGUGCACUAUAUAGGGAAUAGUGUUCUAUAGGGCUCUGGUCUAAAGUAGUGCACUAUAUAGGGAAUAGUGUUCUAUAGGGCUCUGGUCUAAAGUAGUGCACUAUAUAGGGAAUAGGGUUCUAUAGGGCUCUGGUCUAAAGUAGUGCACUAUAUAGGGAAUAGGGUUCUAUAGGGCUCUGGUCUAAAGUAGUGCACUAUAUAGGGAAUAGGGUUCUAUAGGGCUCUGGUCUAAAGUAGUGCCCUAUAUAGGGAGCCGUUUCAGGCGCUGCCAGAGUCUUCAAAGCCCAUGUCCCCUAGAGGGUUUCUGAAGGGUAGGUACAGGAGUUUUCCCUGACCCCUCUGUAACCUGCAGGAUAAACUCUAUGCCAUAGAACGGACCUCCCAAUUCAUGUCAAUGAUGGCAUACUGGGUGUAGAGUUUCCAUUUUUAUAUUCCAGACCGGACCGAUAAAGAGCUGUUGGCUAUAUGUUUUCCUUUUUUAAACCUCUCAUCUAUGACCUCUAGGUGUUAUAAACCUCUCAUCUAUGACCUCUAGGUGUUAUAAACCUCUCAUCUAUGACCUCUAGGUGUUUCAAACCUCUCUAGGACCUCUUGUUGCAGCCCUGACCUAGCGCACCUGAUUCAAAUAGUCACGGGCUUGAUGAUUGGUUGACAAGUUGAAUCAGGCGUGAUAGCCCUGGAAUAGUUCAAAUACAUGGAACGGCUAGAGGCCCAGAGGAGAGGUUUGGAAAAGGCUGGAGGUCCCAGAGGAGAGGUUUGGAAAAGGCUGGAGGUCCCAGAGGAGAGGUUUGGAAAAGGCUGGAGGUCCCAGAGGAGAGGUUUGGAAAAGGCUGGAGGUCCCAGAGGAGAGGUUUGGAAAAGGCUGGAGGUCCCAGAGGAGAGGUUUGGAAAAGACUGGAGGUCCCAGAGGAGAGGUUUGGAAAAGCCUGGAGCCCCGGAGGAGAGGUUUGGAAAAGGCUGAGCUAUAUAUUUGCCAAACAACUUUACACGCCUGUUUCACACACAGGAAGGUAUUGCAGUUGAAUCACAAUUCAUCUUGAUUAAAACAAAUGAUAAUGAAAGAUUUGUACUUCUGUGUGUAGUAACCAGGUAUUAUUAUGUACUGUGUUAGUUUAGAGGUGUUACAGGGUGAAAGAUGGGGGUAACAGGAAGAGGAGGAGUCGAAGUGCAGUGGGCUGGAUGACAGGAAGAGGAGGAGUCAUAGGGCAGUGGGCUGGAUGACAGGAAGAGGAGGAGUCAUAGGGCAGUAAGGCUGGAUGACAGGAAGAGGAGGAGUCAUAGGGCAGUGGGCUGGAUGACAGGAAGAGGAGGAGUCAUAAGGCAGUGGGCUGGAUGACAGGAAGAGGAGGAGUCAUAGGGCAGUGGGCUGGAUGACAGGAAGAGGAGGAGUCAUAAGGCAGUGGGCUGGAUGACAGGAAGAGGAGGAGUCAUAGGGCAGUGGGCUGGAUGACAGGAAGAGGAGGAGUCAUAGGGCAGUGGGCUGGAUGACAGGAAGAGGAGGAGUCAUAAGGCAGUGGGCUGGAUGACAGGAAGAGGAGGAGUCAUAGGGCAGUGGGCUGGAUGACAGGAAGAGGAGGAGUCAUAAGGCAGUGGGCUGGAUGACAGGAAGAGGAGGAGUCAUAGGGCAGUGGGCUGGAUGACAGGAAGAGGAGGAGUCAUAGGGCAGUGGGCUGGAUGACAGGAAGAGGAGGAGUCAAAGGGCAGUGGGCUGGAUGACAGGAAGAGGAGGAGUCAAAGGGCAGUGGGCUGGAUGACAGGAAGAGGAGGAGUCAUAGGGCAGUGGGCUGGAUGACAGGAAGAGGAGGAGUCAAAGGGCAGUGGGCUGGAUGACAGGAAGAGGAGGAGUCAGGGCAGUGGGCUGGAUUCAAACCCUUAUACCAAUAAAUGGCAAUACUGCCUCGAUAUGGACAGCAAGACGGCCGUUAGACCCGAUGAGGUGUUUCUACUCAUGAGCUUAGCUAGACAUUGUCACCAUGACAUCACCGACUAGUGUGAUCGAGGAUUUUCUAUUGGAGAAGCCGUUCCUGCCUACCUUCCUACUGAGAAGGUCUCUUUGAGAUGGCGGUGGAGAUUCCUGUCUGUAAGCGCC